AGAGCAUGAAAACAUUUGAUGCAAUCCACAUUUUAAUAUGGUAUUAAUAUUACAACAAAUACUGAAAAAAAUUAGUGCACAAAAACUUUCUGAACACACUCUAUUCAUAACAAUUGUUAUUUUACUCUCCCCUCCGCCAGCAAAAUCACAAAUCACUUGAAAUGUAAGAAGACCUCUUUUUUUUGGCAAGGACCGGUCUUGCCACGCCAUUUUUCACGUUCACACUCCCUUAAAUUUGUUCACACUGAGCCAAUGCAUUUAGCAGGAUAAAGUUAAUAGUGUUUUUUGGGGGGGUAUUUGUAGGUACCCACUUUUCUCUCAGAAUAAUCAGAGUGGCUCUGCUGGAAGAGAAGCAGCAUCAUGAACGGGAAGAGAAAGAGGCAGAGAAGGUCCCCAACUACUCAAAGCUUCGGACAUAGUCGACGUUCACACAGAAUAGAGAGAAUAGGCACACCGGUGACUAUUGUUGUCGGCUCUAAUUGUAUGCGUUGCUACUCUGUGUUAAGCUAGCAGUUGUUUGAAGGUUACGAACUACUGCAACAUCGAGCGCUGAUUACCAUUAGCCCAUCGAUAAUAUUUCACAUUAUGUGUUCACAUGAAGUUAACAUACAUUAGGUUUUGUAGAGGAAAUUAUAUGGUUUGUUUGAAUGUUUUGGUAUUUAAUAUAUGUCACAUUCUCUUUACUUGUAUGUGUCCAUUUUACAAUUAACUUCAACUCAGAAACAACUCAAAGCAAGCACACUUUGCAUCUUAAUCCAGGCACUAAAGACACUUUAAAGAUUUGUUUCAAUAACUUGAAAUGUGUUUAUAGUGUGUGAGAGGGGCAACAUUUAAGUUUUUCUUUUAUCGCACCCCCCCCCCCCCCCCCCCCCUCCCACCAAUGAUAAACAGGGUUGACUGUAUAAUUCAUCCUGUCCUCACACAAAAAGGACUUCAAGUCCACGCACUGAACACUCGGACGUUUUCUUGUCGCUGAUGAGCUGACCACAUCCUCGGAAUACUUCACAAGACAAAUAAUUGAACUCUUCAACAAACACCCCACCCCCCACCCCCCUUGAUGGACAAAAAUUGCUCCUCCAGCCGCCACUUCUGCUUCUUGGCUUUGUUCUCCCAAAGCAACAGCAGCGACCAAGCGAGCUCAAAGAGGAGGCCUUUUUGCAACAAAACACACCUCGCGGCAAUGAUAACACAUAAGAGCGCCGACGUUUGCUCGCUUGCUUGCAUUUACGCCCCGGCUUGGCUGAUUUGAAGCCAUUAGAGGCGGCCCCGGCGUGUUGUACAAAUAGUAAUAAAGAAGCCUUCAAAAGAGAUAUGUGAUCUUAAAAGAGUUGUUUUAUCCUGGCACGUCGUGACUGAUGCCACCAUCAGCAGUUAGCAGCAAUCAAGGCAGUAAGUAAGAUUGGCCGAGAGAGGAUGGUGUGGAUGAUGUAUUUAUGUAUUUGGUCAAUAGGUGGCAGUGUGCACCCACAGAACGAGUGUCUGUGUUGGCAGUGGACGCUCGAGGGCCGUUCGGUGGAUUUAAUUAGACAGAAACAGAUACUUACGUGUUCAUUUCUCCGCAGCCUCUCUGCUGAGGAAGAGAAGAGAAGAAAAAGAAAAACACUCUUUACGCUCCAGUGGCAACUGCACAUACGCUCGGUGGAAAAAAAAAGGCCAAGUGUUACGACCCAGCUUCACACUUCCUGGAGGCGGCCAUGACUGCAGGAACUCCCGAGGAACUGUCCAAAUUGAUGUUCUCCAUGAAUGACAUCAAGCGUGACGGAUAACGAAUCAUCAAAUAAGACGGAUGCUCAGGUGCCUUGUGAUUGCUUGGCGACCAGUUCAGGGUGUACCCCACCUCUGCCCAAAGUCAACUGGGAUAGACACACACACGCAACAGUGAGUGUGCACGGUUCCAGUUCCCACGACCCGGACGACCUCAAGCGCUCCGGAAGAUGGUUGAAUGGAUGUAUGAAAUGACUCCAUCAU